rnacentral:rRNA from 1 species
GCCGCGGAUCUUCGGUUGGCCAGGGAUAGCCGGCCCCCCUCAGGGGCAGGGCCGGUGAGCAGAGCCGCUCGUGACGGCGCCGGGGCGCGGCCGGAAGACGGUCGCCCCUCUCCUAUCUCGCACCGCAUGUUUGUGGAGAACCUGGUGCUAAAUCACUUGCAGACGACCUGAUUCUGGGUCAGGGUUUCGUACGUAGCAGAGCAGCUCCUUCGCUGCGAUCU